rnacentral:rRNA from 1 species
GCCCUUUAGACUGGGAUAACAGAGGGAAACUUCUGAUAAUACUGGAUAAGUUAGUAUAUCGCAUGAUAUGCAAAUGAAAGCUACGGCACUAAAGGAGAGCUUUGCGUCCUAUUAGCUAGUUGGUAAGGUAAGAGCUUACCAAGGCGAUGAUAGGUAGCCGGCCUGAGAGGGUGGACGGCCACAAGGGGACUGAGAUACGGCCCUUACUCCUACGGGAGGCAGCAGCU